AAGGAGUUCUACAAAUGCGCGAGUCUUUGGGUGUCAAACCCGAGGGCGAAAUGAAAGUAAACGUAGGUGUGAUCCGCAAGGUGCAACAUCGACCGGACUGGAUUUUCUUGAAAGUUCUGAGUAAGAGCGCAUUUGCAGAGACCCGAAAGAUGGUGAACUAUACCUGAGUAGGGUGAAGUCAGAGGAAACUCUGAUGGAAGCUCGUAGCGGUUCUGACGUGCAAAUCGAUCGUCGAACUUGGGUAUAGGGGCGAAAGACUAAUCGAACCAUCUAGUAGCUGGUUCCCUC
rnacentral:misc_RNA from 1 species